UAUGCGAUUCUGUAACAAACACAUCAUCGAUGCUAACAACGACGAGUUCACAGAUGUCGCAUCGUAGACAUCGCUUUUAAAAACAACGUUGAUAAAAACCGUAUUCGCUUAGCUCAAAAACUCGUCGACGAUCUGCCGAACAACGAUGACGGGUAGGAUGUUUACAGUGUUGCCAAAUUUCUUUUAAAACAAUUUAAAGUAUAAUCGAGAAAAUCUCGACUAACGUUUUUUGGCGUUAUUUCGACAUUUUAAAUCAAUGCCAAUGCAUAAUAUGUAUGUAUAAAACACAUUCUAUUCGUUAUACAACGAAUAUUUAAUUAAUUAUAUCAUUUUCGAUAUAGAAAAUAAUGACUCAAAUUUUUGACAUUUGUUAUAAUAUAGGUUAUGUAGUAUAAUAUAUAGUCUGUGUCAUUUCAAAACUUUUCAAAACCAAAACAAACAUUUUGCUCAUAACUGGAUUAUAUCUUUAUUUGUCUAAAUACGAGAUUUCAAAGCUCCAAAUGGCUUUAAGCGGUCAAGUGGACUUUAAAAAAAGUUGUACACCUAACCAACGGCAUUCUACUUGUCCUGUGUUUUAGUUUGUUUCCAAAACUAUCGAAAUGUCUCGCAACGCACUGACUUCGUUGAGUCAGCUGGAAGAGCUAGUAAGCUUUUUGGAAAGCAAACCAUGUUUGAUUAUGAGGGGCCAUCAUCAGGUCAGUCAUCAGGCACGAUCCGAAAACAACAGCCCCAUACAGUGACGCAGUGGGUGUAUGAAAAUAUUGGAGCAAUGGUGUAAGUACUGGAAGGACAAAAAGGAGCAGUUCAGAGGAAGUCUAGUUCUAUUGCAGCUGCGAGGCAACAUGAAGAAUUUGCCAGAACUCGUUGUAAUCGAGUUAAAAACACAUUCCAUUAUGCGAGGAGAAUGUUUUGGAAUCUGAAUUUAGAUAAAUAAAUCCAUGUUCAUUAUAAAAUACAAAAUAAUAAAAAGAUAUGUUGAAUUAAAAUAUUGUUUUAUUAAUUAAUGAUUACAGAAAAGUUAAGUAUUUCUAUAAAAAUAACUUUGAUACCUGCACACUAUUGUGUAAUGUUAAAAAUGUUUAUAAAUAUUACUAUUUGACAUACACAGGUAAAAUACAUAUGUAUUGUUAGAAGGUGUCACACAUAUUAUUGUUUAUUAAAUAACUUCUAGCAUGACGUCCACUGUCCAAGUCACUGCUAGAGUCCGGCUUGCUUGUUCACCGGGUCACAGUUGCUUCUUACCUCGUACUAAUCAAUAAUAUCUGGAUGGUUGAAGGCAUCUACUGUAUAUUGUUGAGUCCUUGAGGCAGAUGCCUGUGAGACAUUGUUCUUGCAAU